rnacentral:rRNA from 1 species
ACGGAGGGAGCUAGCGUUGUUCGGAAUUACUGGGCGUAAAGCGCGCGUAGGCGGCGAAUCAAGUCAGGGGUGAAAUCCCGGGGCUCAACCCCGGAACUGCCCUUGAAACUAGCUCGCUAGAAUCUUGGAGAGGUCAGUGGAAUUCCGAGUGUAGAGGUGAAAUUCGUAGAUAUUCGGAAGAACACCAGUGGCGAAGGCGACUGACUGGACAAGUAUUGACGCUGAGGUGCGAAAGCGUGGGGAGCAAACAGGA